CCAGUAUCUGUAGCUCAGUUGGUUAGAACAUGGUGCUGAUAACACCAAAGUCGAAGGUUCAAUCCCCAUACGGGA